rnacentral:rRNA from 1 species
UUGAACGCUGGCGGCAGGCCUAACACAUGCAAGUCGAACGGUAACAGGAAGAAGCUUGCUUCUUUGCUGACGAGUGGCGGACGGGUGAGUAAUGUCUGGGAAACUGCCUGAUGGAGGGGGAUAACUACUGGAAACGGUAGCUAAUACCGCAUAACGUCGCAAGACCAAAGAGGGGGACCUUCGGGCCUCUUGCCAUCGGAUGUGCCCAGAUGGGAUUAGCUAGUAGGUGGGGUAACGGCUCACCUAGGCAACGAUCCCUAGCUGGUCUGAGAGGAUGACCAGCCACACUGGAACUGAGACACGGUCCAGACUCCUACGGGAGGCAGCAGUGGGGAAUAUUGCACAAUGGGCGCAAGCCUGAUGCAGCCAUGCCGCGUGUAUGAAGAAGGCCUUCGGGUUGUAAAGUACUUUCAGCGGGGAGGAAGGGAGUAAAGUUAAUACCUUUGCUCAUUGACGUUACCCGCAGAAGAAGCACCGGCUAACUCCGUG